rnacentral:lncRNA from 1 species
CUUUACUGUCUGGUCUUUUGCCUCUUCUUGGUUGACAUUAAAUGGUGUCAGAAUAGAGUGGGGUACAACGCAACUUUCCCCUGCGUUCUGGCACUGCCAUGGAUUCAAGCAUGGUACCUGUAGGAUCCCUUUGUGUUCCAUCGUCUCCCCAACAGCCCAGGACCUCAUUGGACACAAUUGAAAACACUGGUUAUAUUACAAAAGCUUUGACUGGUAAUUUUGUGUCAUAUUUUCAAAUGUGACCAAGCUGCUUUGAGGAAUUGCAGUUUACUUUAAAGCCAACAGACUUGGAAAAAGACUGGCCGGGUACCAUAUCUACACUGUUCCCUUACAGGGUUCCUGACCUUGUGAAAAGAAAACUGAGUAAUGACCUACAGACAUGGUUAAUCAGUUAUACCCUUCUCCUGACAUACAGCUAAUCACCAUAGACUAAUGCAGACCUCCUUAUGAAACAGGCGUUUCUACCUCCAAGGGAAAAAGAUAACAAAUCUUUGGCUGACCAACUGAUGUUUAUCAGCAAUGCUUCC